rnacentral:rRNA from 1 species
AGGACGAACGCUGGCGGCGUGCUUAACACAUGCAAGUCGAGCGGAAAGGCCUUUCGGGGUACUCGAGCGGCGAACGGGUGAGUAACACGUGAGUAACCUGCCCUGGACUUUGGGAUAACCCUCGGAAACGGGGGCUAAUACCGAAUAUGACCCGACACUGCAUGGUGAUGGGUGGAAAGUUUUUCGGUCUGGGAUGGGCUCGCGGCCUAUCAGCUUGUUGGUGGGGUGAUGGCCUACCAAGGCGACGACGGGUA